rnacentral:rRNA from 1 species
GAUGAACGCUAGCUACAGGCUUAACACAUGCAAGUCGAGGGGAAACGGCAUCGAAAGCUUGCUUUUGAUGGGCGUCGACCGGCGCACGGGUGAGUAACGCGUAUCCAACCUGCCCAUCACUUGGGAAUAACCUUGCGAAAGUAAGACUAAUGCCCAAUGACAUCCCACGAAGGCAUCCGAAUGGGAUUAAAGAUUUAUCGGUGAUGGAUGGGGAUGCGUCUGAUUAGCUUGUUGGCGGGGUGACGGCCCACCAAGGCAACGAUCAGUAGGGGUUCUGAGAGGAAGGUCCCCCACAUUGGAACUGAGACACGGUCCAAACUCCUACGGGAGGCAGCAGUGAGGAAUAGUGGUCAAUGGGCGAGAGCCUGAACCAGCCAAGUAGCGUGCAGGAUGACGGCCCUAUGGGUGGUAAACUGCUUUUAUAAGGGAAUAAAGUGGGUCACGUGUGACUUUUUGCAUGUACCUUAUGAAUAAGGACCGGCUAAUUCCGUG